UACAGAGGUGGCAAGCGUUGUUCGGAAUUACUGGGCGUAAAGGGCGCGUAGGCGGUCUUGCAAGUCCCGUGUGAAAUCCCUCGGCUCAACUGAGGAACUGCACGGGAAACUGCUUGGCUUGAGUUCGGGAGAGGGAAGCGGAAUUCCGGGUGUAGCGGUGAAAUGCGUAGAUAUCGGAAGGAACAUCAGUGGCGAAAGCGGCUUCCUGGACCAGUACCGACGUUCAGGCACGAAAGCGUGGGGAGCAAACAGG
rnacentral:rRNA from 1 species